rnacentral:rRNA from 1 species
UGAGGAAUAUUGGACAAUGGGCGCAAGCCUGAUCCAGCCAUGCCGCGUGCAGGAAGAAGCAUCUAUGGUGUGUAAACUGCUUUUGUACGGGGAGAAACACUCCUACGUGUAGGAGCUUGACGGUACCGUAAGAAUAAGGAUCGGCUAACUCCGUGCCAGCAGCCGCGGUAAUACGGAGGAUCCAAGCGUUAUCCGGAAUCAUUGGGUUUAAAGGGUCCGUAGGCGGUUUAAUAAGUCAGUGGUGAAAGCCCAUCGCUCAACGAUGGAACGGCCAUUGAUACUGCUAGACUUGAAUUACAAGGAAGUAACUAGAAUAUGUAGUGUAGCGGUGAAAUGCUUAGAUAUUACAUGGAAUACCAAUUGCGAAGGCAGGUUACUACUUGUGGAUUGACGCUGAUGGACGAAAGCGUGGGGAGCGAACA